rnacentral:rRNA from 1 species
GACGUAGGGGGCGAGCGUUGUCCGGAAUUAUUGGGCGUAAAGAGCUCGUAGGCGGUCUGUCGCGUCGAUCGUGAAAACUUGGGGCUUAACCCUGAGCUUGCGGUCGAUACGGGCAUGACUGGAGUUCGGCAGGGGAGACUGGAAUUCCUGGUGUAGCGGUGAAAUGCGCAGAUAUCAGGAGGAACACCGGUGGCGAAGGCGGGUCUCUGGGCCGAUACUGACGCUGAGGAGCGAAAGCGUGGGGAGCGAACAGG